rnacentral:rRNA from 1 species
AUGCACGCUGGCGGCGUGCCUAAUACAUGCCAGUCGAGCGAACAGACGAGGAGCUUGCUCCUCUGACGUUAGCGGCGGACGGGUGAGUAACACGUGGAUAACCUACCUAUAAGACUGGGAUAACUUCGGGAAACCGGAGCUAAUACCGGAUAAUAUAUUGAACCGCAUGGUUCAAUAGUGAAAGACAGUUUUGCUGUCACUUAUAGAUGGAUCCGCGCCGCAUUAGCUAGUUGGUAAGGUAACGGCUUACCAAGGCAACGAUGCGUAGCCGACCUGAGAGGGUGAUCGGCCACACUGGAACUGAGACACGGUCCAGACUCCUACGGGAGGCAGCAGUAGGGAAUCUUCCGCAAUGGGCGAAAGCCUGACGGAGCAACGCCGCGUGAGUGAUGAAGGUCUUCGGAUCGUAAAACUCUGUUAUUAGGGAAGAACAAAUGUGUAAGUAACUAUGCACGUCUUGACGGUACCUAAUCAGAAAGCCACGGCUAACUACGUG